rnacentral:tRNA from 1 species
GCAUAGCUCAGUUGGUAGAGCAUGAGACUCUUGAUCUCAAGGUCGUGGGUUCGAACCCCACAUUGAGCA